GACGAACGCUGGCGGCGUGCUUAACACAUGCAAGUCGAACGAGAAAGCGGGCUUCGGUCCGCUAGUAAAGUGGCAGACGGGUGAGUAACACGUGGGUAACCUGCCGGAGGUGGGGGACAACCCUCCGAAAGGAGGGCUAAUACCGCAUGAUAUCCCUGAGGCUUCGGCCUUGAGGAUCAAAGCUAGCCUCUACAUGUAAGCUAGCUCCACCGGAGGGGCCCGCGGCCCAUUAGCUAGUUGGNGAGGUAACGGCUCACCAAGGCGACGAU
rnacentral:rRNA from 1 species